GUACCUCUCUGCCCCGUGAUGGUGAAGUUGUACGUGUAACUCUGGCCCGUCUGUAUCGGGCAUUGUGUUACAUAAGCCGGCCCAUCAGCCCACCCGCUCUUGAGUUGCCGUAUUCCAUGCCUGCAUCAAACAGAUAAAACAAUGUCGGGUGGUGCAUGAUGCGGGCUGAGGCAGCAUUAUCGAGACAAGAAGGCCUAAUGUGAGGGCUGCUGGCAGCGAUGCAACGAGCAACAUUGCUUGCUAUUUCGAUUUUGCUGUUGGUUGAGCUGAACUUUAGAGUGCUGCUUAAGGAAGAUUAUGGUUCUAAUUAACUAGAGACACUUUUCUAAUUAAGGAUCUAAGUCGGAGGUUAGUCAUUUAAUCCCCUAUGUCAUAACUUAGAGCUCAAUAAAGUGUGCUUUCAUGUCCAUGAUGUUUUUCCUUUUUCAUUUUAUUUACAAAAGGGGCAUAUUCAUAAAUAAUACUCCCUCCGUCUCAGCUAAGAUGACACAUUUCUUGGCUGGCAUGAGAUUUUAUGAGUUGUUAGUUAAUGUGUUUAAUUAGAGAGGAAAAAAGGUGGGUGUAAGUAUGAAGGAUAAAAAGUGGUUGAGUGUAUUAAUUGGAGAGAGAAACUUUUCAAAAAAGGAAAUGUGUCAUCUUAUUCAGGACAAACUAAAAAGGAAAAUGCGUCAUCUUAAAUGAGACAGAUGGAGUAUAUAAGAUGGGGUUAAGACGGUAUAUUGUGAACCUAAAAAUGAGUUAUUAAUAGUUUUAUUAAAAAAAUACUACUCCAUUCGUCCAUCAUUACUUGUCGCUAGUUUCUUUUUUAGUUCGUCCGACAGUGCUUGUCACACUUAAUUUUUACUAUUUUUAGUAUUUGACUCCACAUUCUAGUAACUCAUUCCUACUCGCAUUUUACUAUAAAACUAAUACAGUAUAUAAAAGUAGAACUCACAUUUCACUAACUUUUUUAACUCACUUUCUAUUACAUUUCUUAAAGGUCAACUUGUGCCUAGCAUUGACAGGCAGAGGGAAUACAACUAUAGUAACUGACUGUGUGCUUCUUGUCCAUGAUGUUUAGGGUAUACUAGUUUUUUUAGUUCAUACAAACAGUGCAUAUUUUUUUUGAUGAAUAAAUAUCAAAUAGAAUCAAAACCAACGUAAACAUCAUACACUCGGGCAUACCCGAGGAAGUGCAAGAGAAAAAGCCACGAGUCGGCUAAUACAAAGCAACAUGGUAAGGACCAAGAAACAAACAACACGGGGCAAACCUCAAACAAGGCCGAACACAGUUCAAGUCACCCAUCUAAACCCAGAGUGAGCGAGCCUCGUUAAAUUCCCUUCGGGAAAAAACCCAUGGGAUAAGACAGCGCAUAUAUUUAUAAAUGUAAAAGGUGGUGUUAGUAGACUUUAAUUUUAACCUGAAAAAGGAGAGUUAAUAUCAAAUUUGUGUGAUAACUUAACAUCAAAUUUUAUGAACUCAUUCUUUUCUUACUCCCAUAAUUUAUCUUUUCAUCUACUGUACGAACUUAUGGAGCCCAAGCUUCCGGAAAAGUACGUAGUUAGUCUUAUGGAAGGAAACUGUGUACUCUAUUCUUAAGGCAAAGCAUUUGAUGGUAGGGAUUUGAUCAGUUUUUAACUAUUUACUAAUGGCUAAUUAUGUCAAUAUUCUACGUUAUAGAUAGAUGUUAACACGAAGACAUUUGUACAUCAACAAAAUUUAGUUGAAAUACAAAUAUUUUUUUGUUGAUAUCUAUUAGAAUGUUAACAUAAUUAGCAGUUAGCAAUUUAAGAUAGUUAACAACUUAACAUGAUCCUUUGGUAGUAUAUAUAUAUAGAGAGAGAGUUGUGAUCAUAUGAUAACCCCCAAAUCACGUAAUAACUCUAUAACCAAACCUGAACCACACACAUUUUCUAAUCUUGUGGCUGAGAUUCAA